UACGUAGGUGACCAGCGUUGUCCGGAUUUACUGGGCGUAAAGAGCGCGCAGGCGGUCGUUCAAGUCGAGUGUGAAAGCCCCCGGCUCAACUGGGGAGGGUCACUCGAUACUGAUCGACUUGAAGGCAGGAGAGGGAAGCGGAAUUCCCGGUGUAGUGGUGAAAUGCGUAGAUAUCGGGAGGAACACCAGUGGCGAAGGCGGCUUCCUGGCCUGCUCUUGACGCUGAGGCGCGAAAGCUAGGGUAGCAAACGGG
rnacentral:rRNA from 1 species